rnacentral:rRNA from 1 species
UACAGAGGGUGCAAGCGUUAAUCGGAAUUACUGGGCGUAAAGCGCGCGUAGGUGGUUUGUUAAGUUGGAUGUGAAAGCCCCGGGCUUAACCUGGGAACUGCAUUUAAGACUGGCAGGCUAGAGUCUUGUAGAGGGGGGUAGAAUUCCAUGUGUAGCGGUGAAAUGCGUAGAGAUGUGGAGGAAUACCGGUGGCGAAGGCGGCCCCCUGGACAAAGACUGACGCUCAGGUGCGAAAGCGUGGGGAGCAAACAGG